AGAACGAAUGCUGCCGGCAUCCUAACACAUGCAAGUCGAACGAAGGCCUCGCCUUAGUGGCGCACGGGUGCGUAACGCGUGGGAAUCUGCCCUCUGGUACGGAAUAACUCAGGGAAACUUGAGCUAAUACCGUAUAAUACUUCGGUCCAAAGAUUUAUCGCCUGAGGAGGAGCCCGCGUCGGAUUAGCUAGUUGGUGAGGUAAAGGCUCACCAAGGCGACGAUCCGUAGCUGGUCUGAGAGGAUGAUCAGCCACACUGGGACUGAGACACGGCCCAGACUCCUACGGGAGGCAGCAGUGGGGAAUAUUGGACAAUGGGCGAAAGCCUGAUCCAGCAAUGCCGCGUGAGUGAUGAAGGCCUUAGGGUUGUGUGACUCUUUUACCCGGGAAGAUAAUGACU
rnacentral:rRNA from 1 species